CUACGGGGUGCUGCAGUGGGGAAUAUUGCACAAUGGGCGCAAGCCUGAUGCAGCCAUGCCGCGUGUAUGAAGAAGGCCUUCGGGUUGUAAAGUACUUUCAGCGGGGAGGAAGGGAGUAAAGUUAAUACCUUUGCUCAUUGACGUUACCCGCAGAAGAAGCACCGGCUAACUCCGUGCCAGCAGGCCGCGGUAAUACGGAGGGUGCAAGCGUUAAUCGGAAUUACUGGGCGUAAAGCGCACGCAGGCGGUUUGUUAAGUCAGAUGUGAAAUCCCCGGGCUCAACCUGGGAACUGCAUCUGAUACUGGCAAGCUUGAGUCUCGUAGAGGGGGGUAGAAUUCCAGGUGUAGCGGUGAAAUGCGUAGAGACCUGGAGGAAUACCGGUGGCGAAGGCGGCCCCCUGGACGAAGACUGACGCUCAGGUGCGAAAGCGUGGGGAGCAAGCAGGAUUAGAUACCCUUGUAGUC
rnacentral:rRNA from 1 species